GACGAACGCUGGCGGCGUGCCUAAUACAUGCAAGUAGAACGCUGAAGAGAGGAGCUUGCUCUUCUUGGAUGAGUUGCGAACGGGUGAGUAACGCGUAGGUAACCUGCCUUGUAGCGGGGGAUAACUAUUGGAAACGAUAGCUAAUACCGCAUAACAAUGGAUGACACAUGUCAUUUAUUUGAAAGGGGCAAUUGUUCCACUACAAGAUGGACCUGCGUUGUAUUAGCUAGUAGGUGAGGUAAUGGCUCACCUAGGCGACGAUACAUAGCCGACCUGAGAGGGUGAUCGGCCACACUGGGACUGAGACACGGCCCAGACUCCUACGGGAGGCAGCAGUAGGGAAUCUUCGGCAAUGGGGGCAACCCUGACCGAGCAACGCCGCGUGAGUGAAGAAGGUUUUCGGAUCGUAAAGCUCUGUUGUAAGUCAAGAACGGGUGUGAGAGUGGGAAGUUCACACUGUGACGGUAGCUUACCAGAAAGGGACGGCUAACUACGUG
rnacentral:rRNA from 1 species